AGGAUUCUGGUCUCAAGUGGUGAAUAGAUUGUAAGGAGAAAAUUUGUCUAGCACCAUUUGAAAUCAGUGCUCC
rnacentral:pre_miRNA from 1 species